rnacentral:rRNA from 1 species
AGUGAACGCUGGCGGUAGGCCUAACACAUGCAAGUCGAACGGCAGCACAGUAAGAGCUUGCUCUUACGGGUGGCGAGUGGCGGACGGGUGAGGAAUACAUCGGAAUCUACUUUUUCGUGGGGGAUAACGUAGGGAAACUUACGCUAAUACCGCAUACGACCUACGGGUGAAAGCAGGGGAUCUUCGGACCUUGCGCGAGUGAAUGAGCCGAUGUCGGAUUAGCUAGUUGGCGGGGUAAAGGCCCACCAAGGCGACGAUCCGUAGCUGGUCUGAGAGGAUGAGCGGAGACAUGGGGACUGAGAGACGGCCCAGACUACUACGGGAGGCAGCAGGGGGGAAGAUUGCACAAUGGGCGGAAGCCUGAUGCAGAAACGCCGCGGGCGGGAUGACGGCCUGCUGGUCGGAAACCGCUUUCGCAUGUGACGAAGCGUGAGUGACGGUAAGGGGUAAAGAAGCACCGGCUAACUACGUG